rnacentral:rRNA from 1 species
GUUAGGAAUAUUGGACAAUGGGCGCAAGCCUGAUCCAGCCAUGCCGCGUGAACGAUGAAGGCCUUCGGGUUGUAAAGUUCUUUAGCCGAUGAUUAUAAUGACUGUAGUCGGAAAAUAAGCCCCGGCUAACUUCGUGCCAGCAGCCGCGGUAAUACGAAGGGGGCGAGCGUUAUUCGGAAUCACUGGGCGUAAAGCGUGCGUAGGCGGCUUUGCAAGUUGGGAGUGAAAGCCCAGGGCUCAACCCUGGAAUUGCUCUCAAAACUGCAAGGCUCGAAUUCGGGAGAGGAUAGCGGAAUUGUCAGUGUAGCAGUGAAAUGCGUAGAUAUUGACAGGAACACCAGUGGCGUAAGCGGCUAUCUGGACCGAUAUUGACGCUGAGGCACGAAAGCGUGGGGAUCAAACAGGAUUAGAAACCCGGGUAGUCC